GCAGACCACUCCUACGGGAGGCAGCAGUGGGGAAUAUUGCACAAUGGGCGCAAGCCUGAUGCAGCCAUGCCGCGUGUAUGAAGAAGGCCUUCGGGUUGUAAAGUACUUUCAGCAGUGAGGAAGGUGGGUAUGUUAAUAGCAUACUCAUUUGACGUUAGCUGCAGAAGAAGCACCGGCUAACUCCGUGCCAGCAGCCGCGGUAAUACGGAGGGUGCGAGCGUUAAUCGGAAUUACUGGGCGUAAAGCGCAUGCAGGUGGUUUGUUAAGUCAGAUGUGAAAGCCCGGGGCUCAACCUCGGAAUUGCAUUUGAAACUGGCAAACUAGAGUACUGUAGAGGGGGUAGAAUUUCAGGUGUAGCGGUGAAAUGCGUAGAGAUCUGAAGGAAUACCGGUGGCGAAGGCGGCCCCCUGGACAGAUACUGACACUCAGAUGCGAAAGCGUGGGGAGCAAACAGGAUUAGAUACCCUGGUAG
rnacentral:rRNA from 1 species